GAGUUGUCUGCCUAUGUGGAAUUUACUUCCUCUUCUGCUCUCAUUGCAAAUGCUCAGUCACCCUUCAAGUCCAGCCCAUCCUUGGGGUCCUCCUCCAGGAAGUCUCCUCUGAAACUCUGACACCACUCACUCGUGCACUUUGCGUUUCUUACUUUUCUGGUUUCUAAGAUGAAGUCCUGGACAAGAGCAACUGAAGGCAGGAUGGGUUUGUUUUGGUUCCCAGUUGGAGGCUGCAUUUCAUCCUGGCAGAGAAAUCGUGGCACCGGAGUUCGAACUAGUUCAACUGAGACUGGAGCCAGGAAGCAGAGGAAGAAUGGAUCCUGGCCAGGCUGGCUUCUUUGGUGAAGUGUCUGGCUUAUCCAGAAGACCAGCUCUUCUCCAGCCACCUCAAGCUCCCAGGAGCUCACUGGAUGGAAGAGAAGUGAACUUGACCUGCUGUUUCUGCACCCACAUCUUCUAGACUGCUGUUCCCGAUCCCUGCUAGAGUGUGCUUCUGGGGCAAGUGAAAUUCUGUACUUGAUUUCCGUGCCUUAAACCCAUGAGGACCAGGAAAGAGGAAAAUCAGAAGUGACGAGAGAGACGAGGGCCCUGGAGGAGCAGAUGUGGAAAAGGAAUCCUGCCUGCAGCCAACAUCUGCUUCCCUCGUUUCCAUCCUAGCCACAGGCUGGGCUGAUGGAGGAGUCUGACUAGCUCUUGGGACCACAGUCAGAUCCAUGGGACUGAAGCCCUGCUUAGCCUCUUCUUGCCCAGAGCUUCUGUAGGUGAGCUUGUGGCAUAUGCUCUAUGCCUGGCAGACAGUAUCUGGUGUCCAGUGAUGCCAGCUGCCAUGACCUGCUGGCUCCUUGUCCUGCUCCUCAUCACCCCCCCCCCCCCGGAACAGAGGCGCUUGCCCACCAUCUCUGAAACGAAGCUAUGACAUUUGGUUUGCUCUUCCUAGAUGACAGUUUCAGAGACAGCCUAUGACUCAUUAUGCCCUUUCCCUCCACUAUAAAGUCCAGCCACACUCCAGAUAAAGACUGCUUCCUCGGCCUGGGUCCCAGGACAAGGUCUAGGGCAGAGCCUCCAGAUGCAGUGUGCAGGGGCUGACGUAGGAAUAGCAAGCAGCCUCUGCCUGAAGCCACUGCAACUGAGGCUGUGCCCUUACUGCAGCCUUACCUGCCCUAUCCUCACCAGUUGACACCGGCUUUCAAGGGAAAGUCAUUCCCCAUCCAGACAUCAGCAGGCCCCAGAUUAAUUUCCAUUUGUGGCACUUGUCCACCGUUCUUCCAGAAAAAGUAUUAAACUAUGUUAAGUCUAUAAAAGUCCUCACUCGUACCCCAGCCCAAACCAUGCUUGGUAUGUAUGUUCCGUUCUCUGACCCGAUACAUCUGUGAAAUGGACCCCAUUUGGGAAGGCUCCAAGUGAGCCCUAGGGUUUUACUGCUAUGAACAGACACCAUGACCAUGGCAAGUCUUCUAAAGGACAGCAUUUAAUUGGGGCUGCCUUAUAGGUUCAGAGGUUCAGUCCAUUAUCACCAAAGUGGGAGCAUGGCAGCAUCCAGGCAGGCAUGGUGCAGGAGAAGCUGAGAGUUCUACAUCUUCAUCUGAAGGCUGCUAGUUGAAGACUGACUUCCAGGCAGAGGGUCUUAAGCCCACACCCACAGUGACACACCUAAUCCAACAAGGCCAUACUCACUCCAACAGGGCCACGCCCUGGGUUGAGCAUAUUCAAACCAACACAGGUAACUAUUCUGGCCAUUCCUUGACUCCCUUUACAAAACUGCUGAUCUGGGACCUGGUAGGAUGGUCCAGUGGGACCUCCCACCAAACCUGACAAGCUGAGCUCAAUUUCCGGGACCCACAUGGUGGAAGGAGAAAGUGACAUCUGCAAGUCAUCCUCGGACCUACAUACGUGCUCGCCCUGGCACACAUGGGCACUCACGUCCGUACACACGCUCAUUCAUAAGCACACAUACACAACACACACACAAACAUAAUUUUUAGACUCACACUGCUGACAUAUCUCUGAUCACGAGGACUCGGUUCUUCAUUCGUGGCUUUAAUCCCGUCUUUAUGAUCGUCUUCUGCAGGCUGAUGAUUAUUCUGAGAACAAGCAAAAGAAGACCUGAGCCGUUCCACCACUGUGCCCAGCUCACGGCACAUGCUUAAAUUCCAUGUGUGUGGAGCUAAAACAAGACAAAACUGGACUACACUUGGGGAUAGACUCUUAGUGGGUAAAACCAGAAAAACAGACAAGGAAGUGGGAGGAGGAGGAGAAGGAGGACAGGAAUUCACCUCCCAGCUCCCACAUAGCAGCUCAAACUGACUGUAACUACAGUUCCAAGAGAUCAAAUGUUCUCUUCUGGUCUCUGUGGGCACUGCACACAUGUGGUGCGCAGAUAUACAUGCAGACAAAACACCCAUACACAUAAAAGUAAACAAGAUAAGGAAAUGAUUGGCAUUAAGACUGGCCACAGGGAGGGGUGACCAGGCAGAGGCAGACGGCUGGAUCUGACUGUUUCUCUUCCUUGACAUUUAUGGAUGGGGGGUGUGGCUUUCAUCUUUCCCCUUUGUGUGUCCAGGAUAUAUUUAAAAAAGAAAUUUUGAAGCAUUGUUCUAGGAACUGAGGUAUAGCUAGUUGGUAAAGGGUGUGUUGUGUAGGUUUACUGGAGAUGUGCCAGGAAUGGAGCCAGGAAUGGAGGAGACCUCCAUCUUAAAUUAAAAAAUAAAACACAUUGUAUGUCGCUCUGCAUCACAUGGUGAGAGUCCUCUGCUUGCUUCCUAUGGCUAUACCUGAUCUAUCAUCUGAAUGUGUCAAAUGUAUUUAUCCAUCCCGUUCCUGGGGGCCACUGGGCUUGUUUUUAGCAUGGGGACCGUGUGGACGAUGAGGCUCUGAGUGAGCCCUGGGUCCCCGCGUAACAGCAUUGCUCGGGGGUCCACGCUGGUCAUGAAGUUGGGUUCUGUCUUAGAAUACAGGCAGUAGUUUCCUGCUAUGGCCACACCACUUUGCACCCGUGUCAGCAGCAGGUGGGGCUGGCUGCUGCUCUGCGUCUUGCUAACACUUGCAGUCAUCACUGUUCCGUUUUAGCCCGUCUGUUGGCCGCGUGAUUGAAUCUUGCUGUCUUUUCUUCGCCAGUUCCAUCGAGAGUAGCCACACCAAAGGUCUUUAUAGUUCCUAGUUGGCCAUUUGUAUGCACAGUUCUGUAGAGUGCUUAUUAAUCUCUUACCCAGUUUUCUUUUUGCUUAUAUGCUUUUUUCCUUACCGAUUUGAAAGAUUUUUAAAGUAUAUUUUGAAUGUGAACCUUAUCUGUUUGAAAAUACUUUCUUUUACAUGUCCUUGUCCUUCUCGUCUUUCAGUGCCUUUUUGGCCUGUGUGUGUGUGUGUGUGUGUGUGUGUGUGUGUGUGUGUAUGCAUACAUAUGUAUAUAUGUGUAUGUAUGUGUGUAUGUAUAUGAGUGUGUAUGCAUAUGUGUGUAUGUGUAUGCAUCUGUGUAUAUGUGUGUAUAUCGUGUAUGUGUAGAUAUAUGUAUGCAUGUGUAUAUGCAUGUGUGAAUGUGUCUAUGUGUUGUGUGUGUAUGUAUAUGCACAUGUGUGUAUGUAUACCUGUGUGUAUAUGUAUAUAUGUGUGUGCAUAUGUGUAUAUGCAUCUGUGUAUGUGUAUAUGUGUACAUAUGUAUGCAUGUGGAUAUAUAUGUGUGUAUGCAUCUGUAUAUGUGUGUAUGUGUAUAUGUAUGCAUAUGCACAUUUAUGUGUAUAUGUAUUUUGUGUGUAUAUAUGUAUAUGUGUAUGUAUGUGUGUGUGUCUAUGUGUGUGUAUGCAUGUGUAUUACUAGGCUCUUUUUUUGCAUUUUUGUUAAAUCUGUCUCAUUUAAUCAUAUUAUGUUUUAAUCUGCUUGCGGGCCACUUUUCCUUUUGAAAGAUUUGUUUAGUUAUUUAUUUACUUAUUGUGUGGGUGUACAUGUUAGUAGGGCUCACAUGUGCCAUGCCACUCAUGUGGAAAUCAGAGGACAUGUUUAGGGGAGUCAGUCCUCUCCCUCCACCUUGUUUUGAAGCCAGCUCUCAGUGUCUUUGUGCAGGUGCUGCAGACACUAGUUUCUAGUCAGUUCUCCCUCAGUUUCCCCUUCCCAUCUUACUACAGGACUGCAGGUGCAUGUCUUCACAUCAGACUUUUUCCCUCAAGAUUUACUUAUUAUUAUUCUUUUUUUUUUUUCCAGAGCUGGGGACUGAACCCAGGGCCUUGCGCUUCCUAGGCAAGCGCUCUACCACUGAGCUAAAUCCCCAACCCUAUUUAUUAUUAUUCUUAAGUGCUGAGAGUUGCCCUAGAAGAAAGUCUGUGUACCAUGUGUAUGCUGCUGCCCAUGAGGGUCACAAAAAGGAGUGGGAUCCCCGGGAACUGGAGUUACAGACAGUUGUAAGUUGCCUUGUGGGUGCUGGGGACUGAGCUGAGGACUUUUGCAAGAGCAGCGAGUGCUGUUAACACCGAGCCAUCUCUCUAGCCCCAUAUCUCAUAUCUGGUUUGUGCUGCAGUUGCUUUACCCACAAAGCCACAUCCUCAGCUUGGCCACUCUUUUCUUAAUUAAACAAAUCUCUUAAUGAACUGAUAGCAGAAUUAUACAACAAACUUAUAACAAAAAGUGGGAAGGAAAGGAAGCUUUGAUGAGGCACAGUGAGAGGAUUAAAGAUCUCUGAAGUCAGGCAUAGUGGGACAGACACACUGUAAGCUUAGCACUAAGAGGUAGCGUUGUCAAAUUCGAGGCCAAGUUUCAAGGCAGCCUAGGAUAUGUGAGAUGUUGUCAUACAAAGAUGCUUUCUGACUCCGGGCGUACUGGUGCAUACUUAGGAUCCCAGUGCACAGAAGACUGUGGCAGGAAAACCACAAAUUCAAGGCCAGAUGGGGUUACAGAGUGAGACAGUCUGAAAAAAACACAAGUGUUCUAAGACUUAGAACACUACGCAAAUUGGAAUGUUAAAAAGCUACCUUCCGAAUUUGAUUCGGAAAAUCAAAUUCAUGGCCUGGGAGAUGAAGAAACAAAAACAGCUCACAAGAAAAAAAACACUUGAAAGCUGAAGCUUCUGCGUGCUGUGUCUGCUCCCCAAUUUUGGCCAGUGUCCUUUAAAAUCAAUGAAUUCACUGAAAGGUUCCCAGAUGACCCCACUGGUCAUUUAAACUGCAGUCUCUGCUUUUCUUGCUGAAGUACCGGUGUGCGUGCUGGGCAUAGCUCACAUCCCUCCUGGGCUGCUUAUUAAUCCUCAGGUUGCAGUAGCCUCGCUUCCUAGUUUCCACUGAAAUAGUAAAUACUAACCUCAAGUGCGGAGAAGGGCCAGUGAGAUUGCUCAGCUGACGAAAUAUUGCCAGUGUCUGUCUAACUGCCCAGCUUUAGUCUUUGGAACUCUUCUGAAAGAAGAGAACUCCUCAGGUCUGCCCUCUGACCUCCACAUGAACACCAUGGCACACGUGUGUCCCCACAGUGCUUUGAAAAAUGUAGGGGUACCUAGAGAGAUAGUUCUGUGGUUAAAAGAGUUUUGUGCUCUUGUAGAGCCUGGUUUAAAUGUGCUUGGCCCAUGGGAAAUACUACUAUUUGGUGUGGCCUUGUUGGAAUAGGUGUUGGAGGAAGUGCGUCACUGAGAGGGUAGGCUUUGUGGGCGCCUCGUGCCCAAGCUCUGCCCAGAGUGGAAGAGUUGUUCUCUCCUAGCUGCAGUCAGAUCAAGGUGAAAAUCAAAGUUUCCUCUCUUGCACCGUGUCUACCUGGAUGCUGCCACGCUCCUGUCUUGAUGACAGUGGACUGAACCUCUGAACCUGUAAGCCAGCUCCAAUUAAAUGUUGUCCCUUAUAAGAGUUGCCAUGGUCAUGGUGUCGUCACAACAAUACAAUCCUAACUAAGACAGAAGUCAUAGAGUUUGGUUUCUUGCUGCCUUUUACUCCAGCUCCAGGGAUCUAACGCUCUCUCUUCUGACCUCCUCAGGCGACUGCAUUCACAUGCACAUACCCACAGAGAUACGCACACAUAUACACAAUUUAAAAUAAACCAUUGUGAUUGCUACUCUUAAGGUAAGUGUGCAAGGGAGCUGGGAAUUCCACUCCGUCAGUAAAGUGUGUGCUGCAUAACUGUGAGGAUCUGUGUUCGAUCCCCAGAACCCAAUAAAAAGCCAGGUGCAGUGGUGCAUGGCUGGCAAAACAAGAGGACUCCUAGGACUUGCUGGCCAGCCAGACUACUGCAUUCAGCUCCAGGUUGUGCACAGACACACACACAAAUGAAGAAAGGGAGAGUACAGGAAGGGGAUAUACCCCAGAAACAGGAGUUCAGUGUAAAAUUCCCAAUAUACCCCCUCUUUGGGAACCAUUAAGUUACCAGUUGGUGAGGAGGGACAUUCAGAAGGGAGAGAGCCUUAGAGCCCAAAUGAAUCAAACCCAGACUUUAACUCUGCCUCCUCUGGCUUGUGAGGCAUCAAACAGCCAUUUCACUCCCUCAGGCCUUGGGGUUUAUAACCAUUCGGGCAAAUCGUAUUAUUAUGUCCAAGUAUUUCCUGUCUUCCCCCAAGAGGGUUGUGCGUCCUUACCUCAUUACCCUGUCUGGCCUUGUGACUGAUUUAGGCCAAUGAAACAUGAACAGAGCUGACAUGGGUCAGGGCUGGGCAGAAGCUGUACAAUUGAUUUGGCAUACUUCACUUGUUGGUAUGACCAACAGAAUGCAGAGUCCCCUGCAGUGGGGCUGCACAGAAAUGCCUCUACUGCUAUUGGGUACAGAUUUAUACAUCGAGAUUAACUGUUUGCUUUUUUGAAUUGUGUUUUGUUUUUGAGACAAUGUCUCACUAUUUAGCCCUGGCUACCCUAGAACUCGGUGUGUAGACCAGGUUGGCCUUGAACUCACAGAAAUUCCUUUGCUUUUCCCAAGUGCUGGUAUUAAAGGUGUGCACCGUCAUGCCCAGAAACUGGGUUUUGUUUGUGGUUGUAAAAAAAAAAAUAAUGUAACAGCUUAAACACAAGUUUCUUUUUCUUCCACUUUAUUUCUCUUAUGCAGUUCAGAAGUUGGUAGCAUUGCACUAGUGUGGUAUGUCACAGAAUGGUCAGGCACAUAGGAUCUUGGCUCUGUCGUUUGUAGGGUGUCUUCACAAUCCAGAGCACAGGAGCUCAAUCCAUGGCAUCUGUUUCUGUGGGAUGGGAGUGGAAGAAAACAAGGCUGGCCUUGUGAGUCACAUAUAAUACUGUGUAGGGGGGGAUAAAAGUAUUGGAGAAAGAGGAAGAAUUGAAGCAUAAAGCCAGUGGACCAAAGCAAUAGCCUCUUAUAGAACACAUGGACGGUAACGGUGUACUGGCUGUUUCUGUGUGUCAACCUGACACAGCUGGAGUUAUCACAGAGAAAGGAGCCUCUGUUGAGGAAAUGCCUCCAUGAGACCCAGCUGUAAGGCAUUUUCUCAACUAGUGAUCAAGGUGGGAGGGCCCAGCACAUUGUGGGUGGUGCCAUCCCUGUGAUGGUGGUCCUGGGUUCUAUAAGAGAGCAAGCUGAGCAAGCCAGGGAAAGCAAGGCAGUAAGUAACAUCCCUCCAUGGCCUCUGCAUCAGCUCCUGCUUCCUGCCCUGCUUGAGUUCCAGUCCUGACUUCCUUUGGUGAUGAACAGCAAUAUGGAAGUGUGAGCUGAAUAAACCCUUUCCUCCCCGACUUGCUUCUUGGUCAUGAUGUUAGUGCAGGAACAGAAACUCUGACUAAGACAAAUGGUAUGGACCUUCUGAUAAGUAGAAUUCUAGUGUCUUCAUGGGCCUGGGGCCGGAAAAGGUUAAGACAGGACCAGGGUACCCCACAGCCUUCUCCAGAACAUGCUGUAAAGAACCUGAGGGUCAAGUUGAAGGUUGGUCCUCUGUGAGGAGAGUCCAGACCUUCCAGGGCAGAGAGAACAAGGUCAGAGCUAGAAGCUCAAUGGAAGGAUUGUGCAUCUAUCAGGUUGGACCCACUAGAUGCCAACCAUCUAGCUGGAAACAGGAAAAGGCUCCCUGUUUGUCACCGAAGAGCCAGGUCAGGCCUUGGGUUGGUGGUGGCUCUACUCUGUGAGAUCCACUUACCACAGUGAGAUUAAAGCAGCCAGUCUUUUAAAAAAUGCUUUUACACAACGUGUGUGUGUGUGUGUGUGUGUGUGUGUGUGUGUGUGUGUGUGAUCAUGGCAUGCAUGUGGAGAUCAGAAGACAACUUUCGUUCCACCAUGUGGAUCCUGGGGUUGAAACUCAGGUCAUCAAUCUUGGCAACAAAAUACUUUGAGCCACUGAGCCAUCUUGCCAGCCCAGAACAAGUGUUCUUUAAAGUCGUGUUUGGAAGGUUUCAAAGAGAGGUCAGAACCACCUUCACAAACAUCUCCACCCUACUUUCGCCAUUCAUUCUGUUUUCUUCCUCUGUUUCUUCAUUCCGUUUUUGAAAAGGAUGUCCCAACUAAAACAACUAUAUGUCCAAGUGUGUGUGUGUGUGUGUGUGUGUGUGUGUGUGUGUGUGUGUGUGUGUGUGUGUAUGUGUGUAUAUAUGCUUAUGCGUUCACACGAGUGCAUGUACAUACUCCUGCCUGUCUUUCACUUGGGUUUGUCAUAUGCCACUGUGAUUUGGACACCACCCCCAUCAGUAUGACAAUCAAGCUUCACUCACUUUGGCAGCUUCCUAAUACCCGUCAUGUACUGGACCAUCCUUUCUUGAAUCAGGCCCUGACUGAUGAACACUGGGAGGCUUUUAGACUUUGCUAGUACAAAUGAUGCCAUUACCGAUAGCUUUGUGUGUAUACCUAUUGUACCCUUUCGCCAUUUUGACUUGGAGGUAGAUUCUUAGAAGUACGAUUGCAUGUGUGAGCUUAGUUGAUCUUAUCAGAUUCCCUCCCGAGAGGUGUGAUUCCAUUCCGUCUCCCUUACCGACUAACAUACGAUUGGACCUGGAACAACAAUCCCUUUCCCAAUUCCAUGCAGUUUCGAUGGAAGAACAGGCACAUGGAGCAUCUAGCACUUAGCCCCGGUCACAGUGCUAGUGAGUAGCAGAGAUGGAAGUUAGACCAGCCAAGCAAUGCUGCCCUCAUGGGAAAUACAAUGGAAACUGGAUGGAGUGCCACAUACCACCAAUCCCAGCACUUGGCAGGUAGAGGUGUGGUCAAGGUCAUCCUUGGCCACAUGGUGAGUUUAACGUCAACCUGGGCUAUGUGAGACCCUGUCUUUAAAAAGAGAAAGAAGAGGAGGGGAGGAAGAAAAGGAGGGAGAGGAAAAUGACAGGUAGAGCCAGGCAUAGUGGUGCACACCUAUAAUCCCAGUACUCAGAGGCUAGGGCAGGAGAUUCAUGAGUUCAAGGUCAGCCUGGGCUGCUUAGCAAGACCCUGUCUCAAGGGCACACAGCAGUGGCUUAAAGGGCCCUAUGUCUGUUUCCUGGAAGAGGAAGAGAGACAGAGCCCCCAUCACCAGCAUUCCAGCUCAGGAAAAGCUGGGUUUCCAUCCCCAGGGGCUGUGCCAUCUCUGAGGAGUAGCGAUCACACUAUGUGGUGACCCUUUGUUAGAGAUAGCCCUCCCUCCACCACAUGAGGUGUCACCUUGACAGACAAGAGCUAAGGUUUCCCUCGUUGAAACUUGUGAAAAUGUGAAUGUAAAAGAGGGGCAAAGGCCCUUGCUAUGGAAGCACGGGCUGUCCACGGCUGCUUCUGAGACAGGAGUUGGGAGUAACAGGGGUGGAGUGCGGAUGGUGGAGCUGCUUAAGCAUUUUCAGAGUCGUGGUAAGAUGUCUUAGCAUCCUACAGAGUGUGUGGAGGGUGGUUCAUCUCCCCAGAGGAGGACAAAGGGAGAAGAAACCACACGUAAGCCUGGCCUUCACCCAAUAUAUCCUUCUCCCAGCCCUGCUGUGAGCCUGUCCCUGGCACGGGAAGAGCUGGCAAGGCCCUCCAUCCACAACCAAGGCCUUGUGUUUCCAAGCACCUUCAGGGUGGAGGAGUCCCAUCCCUAGGGCACCUGCUAGGACUGUUGCAUCCACAAGGCUAGCAACCUUCCUUGGGAUAGGAGCCAUGCCUACCUAGGGGACGGCCCCUGGCUACUUUCAACCUCUAUCCCUUUGAGUUGUGAUCUAUGUGUUGACACAGGGGCCAAACCCUCUCAACUGUGCCGCUAGCAGCCGCCAUCAAUCAAUCAGAAUACAUCCUGUGCAGUUCAGUCCCAGGCCCUGUGGCCUCAGCCUUAUGACUCAGCCAGCCAGUGUCCAUUCAUCAACCUGAUACAAGGACAGAAACCAUUUUCCAACAUGUGUAUAAGAGAUAGAGAGUUAGUGACUAAAGACAGGUGAAGGCACUGGCCCCUUGGUCCUGUGUAGUUCAGGAGUCUAUUAUGCAAGAUGUCUAGAGUUCUGACCUAACUGGGCAUGAGAACUUUCAAAAGCUCCAGGAUCUUAGUGUGGUGGCAAAGUUGAAAUAACAAAAUUUGAUUCAGGGCUUAGGAACCCAUGUAGCCCUUUAACCCCUAGUGAGUCUGAUCCUUAGGGAAUGUGACUCAAGACUAGAAAACCUAUGAAACCACAUUAGCUCUGAAGGUGGGAGGUGAGGAGGCACUGGGGACUCAACCUCCUGGAGUUGGUGUAGAGAUUUUUGUCCAUCUCCCUGGCACAUGCCUUUGCUUCUUUAGUCUCCAGAUUAUUACAUAAAUCCAUCUCAAGAAUGCAUACGAAUAAUACUGUCCUCAGGUCCCACUCACAUAAGAAAAAUGAACGGCAGGGAGACAAAGUGGAGCAGAGCGAGAAGGAUGAGAUGAAAAGUAUCUGUCUGCUUUAGACGAGCGAUUUGCUCUAAUGCUCUGUUCUCUUGUUUGCUUGUCCUUCUGAGAGCUCAAGGACCUUUUAAGGUGGAAUGCUCGGGGACCGUUCUUAGGGAGCCGAUUAGCCUUGGACAGCUGGAAAUAUGAGCACAGAGCUAGAAGCAGAGCCCAGGCAGGACCGAGAGUGCAGUGGUGGUGUGAGGCAGGAGACCUGCUUUACAUUCCUGGGCCCUGAUAGGGAGAGACUGGAACUGGAAGAUGCGUGGGGCUGAAGACGUAUCUCAGUGGUUCAGCAACUGCCUAGCAUGUAAGGCAUUUUUAAAAGAUGGAGACAAAUAUCUGAACUCAUGUCAGAUCCCAGCAGGGUACCCCCCACCCACAUCCAGCCCUGCAGAGUACUGACAACACCUCCACUCUACCCUUGAGUAAACUGAGGCACAGAGGUAUUGUUUCGUCUGGCUCUGGCUCUACCCAGGAACAUCUUACCAGUCUACAAGGAAGUUAGUACCUAAUCCACUCUCCAAAUACCAAGAAAGAAGCUGGGUGGCACACAUAUGAGAUUCUCAUACUGGGAAGGCUGUGGCAGCAAGAUUCUGGGUUCAAGGCCAGACCUUGUCUCAAACAAAUAUAUAAAUAGCCUGACAUGUCAGAGCAUGAGGGUGAGGAAAUACUUGGCAUUGGAAAAUAUGAAAGUCAGAAUCUUUUCUCAUUCAUCCAUUUUAAUGGAGAGAGGUAGCCUAGUGAAUUAGAAAUAGCAGACCCACCACUUGCAGUGGGCUGUCCUUGAGCUAAUACAGAAGCAACUGGAUAGCCCAGAACAUAAAAGAAACAGGUCUGGACUUGAGGGCAAUUCAUGACCAUGUACCAGAAUCUUCCCAAAACGUGUGUAUGAUGGCCCAGCACCCUUGCUUCUAGGGGUGUGUGCCUUCUUGACUUAGAUGGAGAGGUGGGUGUCUCAGUUUGUGUUUCAUUCCUUUGAAGAGACACCAUGACCAAGGCAACUCUUAUAAAGUAAAAUAUUUAAUUGGGGCUGGCUUACAGUUUCAGAGGUUCAGUCCAUUAUCAUCAUGGCAGGAAGCAUGGCAGCGUCCAGGCAGACAUGGUGCUGGGGGAGCUAAGAGUUCUACAUCUUGAUCUGCAGGCAGCCAGGAGGAGGCACUCUCUUUCACAUGGGGUAAAGCUUUAGCACUAGUAGCCCUCAAAGCCUGCCUACACAUCGGCCCCCUUCCUCCAACAAGGCCACACUUUCCAUGUGUAGCAGGGCCACUUCCCAUGGGCCAAGCAUAUUUAAAUCACCCGAGUGGGUAUAAAAGGAUUUACAAAGCCAGAAGUAACAUAAUUAAACCUGAUUCCAUAAAAUAUAGCCAGCUCAGGCCAGGCAUGGCUGUGCACACCUUAUAUACACAUAUACAAUAUACUAUAUGUGCACACAGACAAUAUAGGCGUGGGGUGAAGAGCUAUGGACAUACAAACAUUAAUGCCAAAAGCAGGACCUGAGCGAGAGAGGCCGUGUUGGAGCUGACCGUGAUGUGAUUGUGUAAAACAGAAGUAGACAGGGCUGGCAGAGUGGCUCCGCAGAUGAAGGUGACUGCUACCAAGAGGGAGGGCCUGAGUCUGAUUAGGAAGGAACUGAUCUAAGUGGUUCUCUGACCUCCAUACCCAGUAGCAUGUCUGUACCCAAACACAAAUACAUACACAGAAAUGAAAGAAUAAAUAAAAUGUGACAGAAAUUACAAAGAAAACACAUGGACAGUGUUCAGGAGUACACAUAACCGAUUUGUCAGAUGCAUGCCGCCACCAUGGUGAUAGUGGAUUAUUGGAUUUGUAUCUCAAGAUAGGAUUAGAGACUGAUUUGUUUUGGGAGAUAUUGCAAUUAUUGUUCCUUAUUUUUAACGCCCCCCCCUUUUUUUCCUAGUUCUUUUCCCUAGGGAACGUGCAAGUGAUUAAAUGAAAGCUUGAAGUCUUUUAGUGAAAGCCGCUCCCAGGCCCCCUGCAUAGCUGACUGUUGCCAGGGCUUUCUCCAGAAAGAACCUGAAGCAAUGCCAGGGAAGCAGCGAGCGGAGAAGGAGCCAGAGGACAGAUCUGGGAUGUGGGAAGGGACCAAGGGCCUCAGGAUUGGAGUCAAGGUCAGGAAGAGUCGGGGCUCAUAAACAAUCAUAGACCCAUUUCACAGCUCAGAUAAGAACUGCCUGGGCGGGCUAGGUGUGCCCUCUGAGCGGAUGCCACACUAGUUAGUAGGGUUCUGCAUUCACGCACCUCUGGCUGCUUCUGUCCCUCUGACUCCUCUGUUUCCCCUUCUGUGACUUGUAUAUGAGGUGUCUCCUGAAUGCCUCCAGGGUUAAAGGCUUGCUAGCUUUCAAGAGUUGACUGGACCCUGGGGCUCUGACUGACUUACCUGGUGGGUUAAUCCCUUGGUGGAUUCCUGAUUUGAAGGCAUCACGGCAGGGUGAUGGAAACGGGAAAGUGGGUCCUCCUAGAGGAACUAGUUCACUGGGGUGUGCUGGCUAGUUUUAUGUGAGCGUGACACAAGCUCAGUGUCAUCUGAGAGGAGGGAAUUCCAACUGAGCACGAUCUGGCUUUAUGAGAACCCAGAGGGUAUUUUCUUGAUUUUCACCAUUGCAGGAGAGCCUAAUCAUUGUAAGGAGGGCCACUCCUGGGCUGGUCUUGGGUUCUAUAAGAAAGCCAGCUGAGCAAACCAGUGGGCAGCGCUCCUCCACAGCCUGUUUCAGCUCCUGGAUCCAAGUCCCUACCUGGUUUGGCUCCUGCCUUGGUGGACUGUGACUUGGGAUACACAAGUCAUACAAAAUGACUGUGGCAAGAUAUGCCAAAUGAACCCUUUCUACCCCAAGUUGCUUUUGGUCAUGGUGUUUCACUACAGUAAGAAUAAUCCCAACUAAGAUGUGGGGUGGGGGGUGCCUUCGAGCGGCAUGUCUUGUUCCCAGUCCCUUUCUGGGUCCUUCUUUACUUCCUGUCUAACACGAGCUGAGCAAUUUCCUCUUCUUCACGGUGCCCACCACCACGCUCUGCCCAACCAUGGCCUCUAGCAAUGGGCUCACAAUUAUUGAUUCUUCCAACACUGAGAGCCAAAAUAAAUCCCUCCUCCUUUUAUGUAGUUUAUAUAGUUUCCUUUUAUGGGAUGUUUGUCCCAUUGAUAAAAGAUGGGCACACUGCCAACCCUACGCCUCUUACUUUAAUCCCAUCUGCAAAGUCUCAGUGACUAUGCAUGACAGUCUGUCUUCAUUGUCAACUUAAAAUCAUGUCCCAGCCGCACGCAGGCUGUGUGCGAGGGAGUUCCCAGAGGUUUCACGGAGAAGAAACACCUACCCUGAAUACAGACGGCACCACAUCUGCCGGAGGCUGUGGCUUUGGAGUAAACAGGACUAAAAGGGAAAAAAAAAUGAGCUGCCACCAGCAUUCAUCUCUCUCUGCUUCCUGAAUGCAAACUCCAUGUGACCAGCUGCCCCAAGCUCUAGCCUUUUCCCUCCAUGAUGGACUGUAUCCUCUCAAACUGUGAGCCCACAUCCUUCUUGGUUGCUUUUGUGAGGGGCUGUUGUAACACCUUGUAACUGGUACAUCACAUCCGGGGACAUGAUUGCAGGCUCUGGGGAUUACAUGCAAGCAAGCAUCUUUGGAGGUCUCAUUAUUUCACUUUUCAGCUAAUCGCAUACCCCUAAAGAGCACACAGACUAUCUCGGAGGCAAAAAAAAAAAAAAAAAAAAGACGCAAGGAAUUAGAACCCAGAAACUGGGGACCUGGAAUAAGCUAGCUUUGGCAUCACAUUAAAAUAGUCAUCCAAGUCACAGAUUAAUAAGGGUUAGGGAUAGUUAUGGUUCAA